UAUUGCACAAUGGGGGAAACCCUGAUGCAGCAACGCCGCGUGAAGGAAGAAGGUCUUCGGAUUGUAAACUUUUGUCUUGUGGGAAGAUAAUGACGGUACCACAGGAGGAAGCUCCGGCUAACUACGUGCCAGCAGCCGCGGUAAUACGUAGGGAGCGAGCGUUGUCCGGAUUUACUGGGUGUAAAGGGUGCGUAGGCGGCUAGACAAGUCAGGUGUGAAAUACCGCAGCUCAACUGCGGGGCUGCACUUGAAACUGUAGAGCUUGAGUGAUGGAGAGGUAAGCGGAAUUCCUAGUGUAGCGGUAAAAUGCGUAGAUAUUAGGAGGAACACCAGUGGCGAAGGCGGCUUACUGGACAUUAACUGACGCUGAGGCACGAAAGCGUGGGGAGCAAACAGG
rnacentral:rRNA from 1 species